AUCAAAAGGGGGGUCUCUCAUCCGAGGCUGGUUAUAGCUCUUCACUGGGGGUGUUUUUUUUACGUGGCGGGUCCCAAACCCAGCGCACAACCCUUGUAGGGAAUGUUUCGCCUUCGAACGGAUGUUCUUAGGCUACCCAGAGGAUACUUGGUCAAAGACUGGAAGUAGUGAGCUGCUUGAGCCAUGUGUAAAAGAAUCGUUUCUGGCCAUUCCCAAGUGAAUGGCGAUCAGAGAACUUUCCUCACUUGCGUGAACUUCUACACAUGACUCCAUCCUCGAAAAUAAAACUAUGAUGCUUAAGAUUACAAAACGUUUCAUCAAAUACCUUUAAAUUUCACAAAUUUAUUUAAUUUGCAUUGUUUUACAUUUUUUAUAGGUGGUCUUGAACGAUGCAACAAAUCCCUCCGUCUACAUAUUUUUUUGGUUGGAAAAUACUACGCUACAGAGCUCGUAUCUGGCAAUACUAUACAUCUUUAAAAGGUCUUGACAUAACCUACAAAACGACGGUAUGCAUGAUUAGUUUGGAUAUUGCGUUCAACAGUUACAGACGUGCAAAUCCGCUAGAGAAACGUUCCUUGAGAUUAAUGGUGUUUUGGGGGAUGGUACUCUAUCACUUCGAACUGCGGAUGACUGGUUUCGACGAUUCAGAGCGGGUGAAAACGACACCAUGGAUAAGACAGCCAGCAGAAGCCCUGUGACGACGAAUACCGAUCAAAUCAUGGAAAACAUCGAGUUAG